UACGAAGGGGGCUAGCGUUGCUCGGAAUCACUGGGCGUAAAGCGCACGUAGGCGGCUUCUUAAGUCAGGGGUGAAAGCCCGGAGCUCAACUCCGGAACUGCCUUUAAGACUGCAUCGCUUGAAUCCAGGAGAGGUGAGUGGAAUUCCGAGUGUAGAGGUGAAAUUCGUAGAUAUUCGGAAGAACACCAGUGGCGAAGGCGGCUCACUGGACUGGUAUUGACGCUGAGGUGCGAAAGCGUGGGGAGCAAACAGG
rnacentral:rRNA from 1 species